AACGAACGCUGGCGGCAGGCCUAACACAUGCAAGUCGAACGCUGUAGCAAUACAGAGUGGCAGACGGGUGAGUAACGCGUGGGAACAUUCCCAGUGGUACGGAAUAGCUCAGGGAAACUUGGGGUAAUACCGUAUACGCCCUUCGGGGGAAAUAUUUAUCGCCAUUGGAUUGGCCCGCGUUGGAUUAGCUAGUUGGUGAGGUAACGGCUCACCAAGGCGACGAUCCAUAGCUGGUUUGAGAGAAUGACCAGCCACACUGGGACUGAGACACGGCCCAGCCUCCUACGGGAGGCAGCAGUGGGGAAUUUUGGACAAUUGGGGCAACCCUGAUCCAGCCAUGCCGCGUGAGUGACGAAGGCCUUCGGGUUGUAAAGCUCUUUUGACGGGGGCGAUAAUGACGGUACCCGUAGAAUAAGUCCCGGCUAACUUCGUGCCAGCCGCCGCCGUAAUAC
rnacentral:rRNA from 1 species